UACAGAGGGUGCGAGCGUUAAUCGGAAUUACUGGGCGUAAAGCGCGCGUAGGCGGCUUUGCAAGUCGGGUGUGAAAUCCCCAGGCUUAACCUGGGAACUGCAUUCGAGACUGCAUUGCUAGAGUAUGGGAGAGGGAAGUGGAAUUUCAGGUGUAGCGGUGAAAUGCGUAGAUAUCUGAAGGAACAUCAGUGGCGAAGGCGGCUAUCUGGGCUGAAACUGACGCUGAGGCGCGAAGGCUAGGGGAGCAAACAGG
rnacentral:rRNA from 1 species